UAGACAGAUGCUCGCUGGUUUGGGCGUUUAGCUGUUAACUAAAAGUUUGUGGGAUCGAGGCCUUCCUGUCUAG
rnacentral:tRNA from 1 species